CUACGGGGGGCAGCAGUGGGGAAUAUUGGACAAUGGGCGCAAGCCUGAUCCAGCCAUGCCGCGUGAGUGACGAAGGCCUUAGGGUUGUAAAGCUCUUUUGGCGGGGACGAUAAUGACGGUACCCGCAGAAUAAGCUCCGGCUAACUUCGUGCCAGCAGCCGCGGUAAUACGAAGGGAGCUAGCGUUGUUCGGAAUCACUGGGCGUAAAGCGCACGUAGGCGGAUUUGUUAGUCAGGGGUGAAAUCCCGGGGCUCAACCUCGGAACUGCCUUUGAUACUGCAAAUCUCGAGUCCGGAAGAGGUGGGUGGAAUUCCUAGUGUAGAGGUGAAAUUCGUAGAUAUUAGGAAGAACACCGGUGGCGAAGGCGGCCCACUGGUCCGGUACUGACGCUGAGGUGCGAAAGCGUGGGGAGCAAACAGGAUUAGAUACCCCCGUAGUC
rnacentral:rRNA from 1 species